rnacentral:rRNA from 1 species
CCUACGGGUGGCAGCAGUGGGGAAUAUUGCACAAUGGGGGAAACCCUGAUGCAGCGACGCCGCGUGAGCGAGGAAGUCUUUCCGUAUGUAAAGCCCUAUCAGCAGGGACGAAAACCGACGCUACCUGACUACGUCGCCCCUGCUACAUACGUGCCAGCCGCCUCGGUCCUUCGUAGGGGGCAAGCUUUAUCCGGAUUUACUGGGUGUAAAGGGAGGGUAGACGGGAAGGCAAGGCAGGAGGGAAAGGGCAGGGCCUCAACCUGGAAAUGCUUUUGAAACUGUGGGGCUAGAGUGCAGGAGAGGUAAGUGGAAUGCCUGGUGUAGCGGUGAAAUGCGUAGAUAUUAGGAGGAACACCAGUGGCGAAGGCAGCUUACUGGAGUGUAACUGACGUUGAGGCUCGAAAGCGUGGGGAGCGAACAGGAUUAGAUACCCGUGUAGUC